rnacentral:rRNA from 1 species
AAAGACCCCGUGAACCUUUACUAUAGCUUGACACUGAACAUUGAGCCUUGAUGUGUAGGAUAGGUGGGAGGCUUUGAAGUGUGGACGCCAGUCUGCAUGGAGCCGACCUUGAAAUACCACCCUUUAAUGUUUGAUGUUCUAACGUUGACCCGUAAUCCGGGUUGCGGACAGUGUCUGGUGGGUAGUUUGACUGGGGCGGUCUCCUCCUAAAGAGUAACGGAGGAGCACGAAGGUUGGCUAAUCCUGGUCGGACAUCAGGAGGUUAGUGCAAUGGCAUAAGCCAGCUUGACUGCGAGCGUGACGGCGCGAGCAGGUGCGAAAGCAGGUCAUAGUGAUCCGGUGGUUCUGAAUGGAAGGGCCAUCGCUCAACGGAUAAAAGGUACUCCGGGGAUAACAGGCUGAUACCGCCCAAGAGUUCAUAUCGACGGCGGUGUUUGGCCCCUCGAUGUCGGCUCAUCACAUCCUGGGGCUGAAGUAGGUCCCAAGGGUAUGGCUGUUCGCCAUUUAAAGUGGUACGCGAGCUGGGUUUAGAACGUCGUGAGACAGUUC